UCACCUUCAAAGGCUCAUUAAAACACAGGCUUGCUCUUAUGUUGACCUGCGACAGCAAAGCAGGACAAGGGGCGUGUCUGCCACGCAGGAUGAAAUGCCAUUCACAUAUCUCUGAUUUGGCUCUGUCAGAAAUGAAUAUGUAAAUGAAUUAAUAACAGAUUCAAGCAGUGAACAGAUUAGUCGAAUCCAAUCAGGUGAUGAAGCCACCUGUAUCUGGGUAUUAGAAUUUCACGGACUUCAAUCAAGUAAUACAGCUGAAAGAAGACAAAAGGAAAACAGGAAAAGGAAGCCAUCUAUGAAAGUGAGCCCACACCAGACACCAAAUCUGCCAGUGCCUUGAUCUGGGACUUCCAGUCUUCAGAACUAAGAUCCCCAUGAUUACACAUGGCAGUGGAGGAAUCCGGAGAAGUGCAGGGAGAAGAGGCUGUCCUUUGUCCUGCCAAAUCAAGGAGCUGCCCAGGCAGAUACUUCUCAUAUUCUAAUGUUAGACCUCCUGAAGCCAGUCUGCUUUGGAAUAAUUCAGAAUAAUACCUGAGUUCUACUUAGAACUUACGUUACUGAUUUAUGGCUGAACCAUGCCAAAGGAAAUAAAAAACUCAUUUCAAACAUUCUAAAAGAUGCAAGAGUUGGAUUUGGACAGGUGAAGGAGGCUUUAGUAAAACUCCCAGAUCUACAUAAAACUAAAACCAUUAGAAUACCCAAGAGGAGAAAGAAGUUGGAUAAUGUAAUUUAUAACAUCUUGCUACUUCCUCAAUUUUGUUCUUGAUUUUCUUGUAUUUUUUUUUUACCACUUCUUUAAAUAAAUGUAAGUUCUUGACUUUAUUUUACCUGCUGAUCUUACUGUCUUUGAGGCUGUAACUUUUAGCAAUGUACUCCAUUUAACAAAAUUUCAUUAAGACAGAAAUUGUUUCCUAUAGGUAUAUUCUUAAGACAUUGUAUCUCUAUUACAUUCUCAUAUUUACCAGGGAAACCAGAUCACCCUCACAGGAUGCUAACCUAAAAGAAUCAGCAGACAAGACAGGAAGAUGGUGACUCACUAGUCAGUUCAUUACAGCCUUGGAAGUCACUUACUGUUCCAGACACUGGGUUAAUUCCAGAACCUCUGGGCACCUUAAGCCUUAAACUUCCCCAAAGGGAGGAUUUAUAAUAAUCUUUAUGCCUUGAACUUCACCCAUGCCUCAAGCUGCCUUUAAGUCUUCUCCUCUUAUAAUUUCAAUAUCUAGUAGUUCCUUGAACCCAGUGGAAUCUUCUUCAUCUCCAAACUUUCCAACAUAAGAUUCCCUCUGCUUUGAACACACUUUAUCCCAUUUACUUGCCUAACUUCUUUAAGGUCUCAGCUUAAACAGUUCUUCCUUAGGGACGACUUCCCUGGCUACCCAUUAGAAAGGAUGGCAUGUUUCUGUUAUGUCUUUCAUUCAUUUUUUUUCAUUCAUUUAACUGUCUUUUCACUUGGUUACUCCUCCAACAAAUAUUAAUUCACCUACACCUACUACGUGGCAGGCACCUUGUGUGCCUUCUGUUCUAAUUGUAUUAUUGCAGGUCGCUCAAUUGUAUGCCUUCCUCAUUAGGCUCUAAGUUUUGUGGGGAGGACCUUGUCAAUCUUUCUUAGCACUGUAUCUUCAAAACAUAGCAUAUUGUUUACCAUAUAAUAGCAUAUAAUAGGUAAUUCAUAAAAUCUGUUGAAUCAAUCAAUGAAUAAACAGAUGUGAGUUUUUAGUCUUAGUUUUUAAAAUUAAAAAUGAUCAGCUUUUAAAUUUUAGUUUAUCAGUAGCACUACCAAAAGUUCAAAAGGAUUAUUUUGCACCCCAUUCUUUUUAUGGCGUGCAGAAAGCACAGGAUAAUAUUUUAUCCUCUGCUUACAUUUUGUGGUUUUAAAGGGAGUUUGAGUACUUCUCAUGACAGACAUGAGACUAUGGCACUCCAUAAAGCAUUGCUGGUAUUCUUUUUUCUUUAUUUCUUCUAAAAAAACAAACAGUAUACA